GACACAUUUAGUCAUGCCUGGCCACCAGCAACGUCUCUUGACGAACUCUCAGGCGUGAGCCUCGGCGCACCAUCAAGUCUACUUCCAGCGGAUGGGUGCCACAGCUUUAGAGCUGGUGUUUUGAAUCGUCGAAAGAGGGCGCUGCGCGGCGAGAAAUAAGGAAUUUGAAACUAUUAAAAUGGGAACCAAUCGGCCUGCCUUCGAUUCAGCCUUCUCGCAUCCUGGAUUUAAGUUAGGUGUUUGUGGUCGGUCCAUACCACAAACAGAUGUUUGGGCUCCCUCAAUCCCCGCUCCUCCAGCGCCAGUCUAACGACCAACAAUUCCUGAUUUCCAGUGUCAUAGUCUGCCAGGGUCCGGGGCAGAUCAUUGGGACAAAAUGGCCCCUACUGCCAUGUCCAACACAACGACCUCCUCCACAAAAGGUAAGUACGAGUCCGGUGGAACUAGGAGAGGUGCCGAUGUGAACCUUUGUUUUAACUCCUGGAAAGCCGCCUUGGGCCAGCGAAGGUCCCAGUACAUGUCUUGGUGAGUUGGUGAGCAGCAUUACCACUGAACUGGAAUUGCGGAUGAACAGCCCCUAAAGAAAACUGCAGGAGUUGUUUCACGGAAGGUGGGCUGCGGCCGAAUCCAGAUUGCUUGGGUCUAUUUGAAGGCUGCCUUUAGAUAUAACAAACCCAAGGAAGUAAACUUGGAAUACAUGGAAUCCACUCUUCUUGAGCUUAACGAAUAAUCAAUUCUCAAGUUGCCAUUGUAGAACCUGCUGGACGUGUUCCUGAGUGGACCUGGAGAAAAUGUGUAUAUUCUAAGUAGACAAAGCAUCUGCAUCGAUGAAGGCUUGAAAUGCCGCUGGAGUGUUUGCCAAUUCUAAAGGCAUGACCCGCUCGGUAUUCAUAGAAUGCCGUUUACCAUUUGUCUCCUUCACAAAUGCAGAUUAGGUUAUAGGCGCUGAUGAGGUUCAAGUUAGUAAAUAAUGUAGCUCCUUGGCCGUGUUUAAGAGAGGGAGAGGUCACCGGUUUUUAGCAGUGAUCAUAUUUAACUCGCCACUUUGAACAGACGGUUUGGUAUGUUUUUCACAGAGUUUUGCAAGGUCAGAUCUAUAACCAAGCCUGACUCCUAUGCUCUUCGUCGGGUGCAAGGGUCAGAGAUGUCUCGGAGAGGCUGCAGGGCAUUCUGAAAGGGUAGGGUGAGCAGCCAGCUGUCAUGGUACAUAACGAUAUAGGAACAAAGUUGGAUGAGGUCCUACAAGCUGAGUUUAGGGAGCUAGGAGAUAAAUUAAAGAGUGGGACCUCGAAGGUAAUAAUUUCAGGAUUAUUACCAGUGCCAUGUGCUAGCCAGAGUUGGAAUAGCAGGAUAGCUAGAGUGAAUAUGUGGCUUGAGCGGUGGUGCAGGAGGGAGGGUUUCAGAUUCUGGGGGCAUUGGAACCGCUUCUGGGGGAGGUGGGACCAGUACCAUCCAGACGGUCUACAUCUGGGCAGGGCCAGGAUCAAUGUCCUCGGGAGAUUGUUUCCUAGUGCUGUUGGGGAGGCUUUAAACUAAUAUGGCAGGGGAAUGGGAACCCACACAGAAAAGAAGAGGGGAGUGGUACAGAGACCGAAGCUAGAGCUAGUGAAGAAAAAAAGUAAGAGUAGAGUGCAUAAAGGUAGAAAGCAAAAAUCACAUAGGUCACAAGAUUCUAAAAAGACAAUGAAUAUAAAGGCACUUUAUCUAAAUGCCCAUAGUAUUAGAAACAAGGUUAGUGAACUUGCGCCACAGAUCAGUACCAAGGCGUAUGAUUUCAUGGCCAUUACAGAAACCUGGUUGCAAGGGGGAGAUGACUGGGGAUUAAAUCUCCAAGGUCAUACAGAAAGAUAGGCAGGAAGGCAGAGGAAGUGGGGUGGUGCUCUUAAUUAAGGAUGAGAUCAGGGUGAUUGUGAGAGACGGUAUAAGAUCUACGGAGCAGAAUGUUGAGUCCAUCUGGGUAGAGAUUAAGAAUAGUAAAGUGAAAAAAUCGCUGGUUUGUGUUGUCUAUAGGUGAUUAACCAAGAAUUAACUGAGGCUUGUAAGAACAGAACGGCAGUUCUCAUGGGGGAUUUUAACUUCCACAUAGAUUGGGUGAAUCGGGUUGGUCAAGGAAGUCUUGAGGAGGACUUCACAGAAUGCAUCCGUGAUGGCUUUCUUGAGCAGCAUGUUAGUGAAUCUACAAGGGAAACUGUUAUCUUAGAUCUAGUCUUGUGCAAUGAGACAGGUAAGAUUAACGAUCUUGUAGUCAGGGAUCCUCUUGGAAAGAGUGAUCAUAGUAUGAUUGAAUUUCACAUUCAAAUGGAGGAUGAAAUAGUUAGAUCUAAAACUAGUGUAUUAUGCUUGAACAAGGGAGACUGCAACGGGAUGAGGGAGGAGGUGGUUAAUGUGGAUUGGUAGGACAGUUGAGGAACAGUGGAAUACUUCCAAAGAGAUUUUUCACAGUGCUCAACAAAAAUAUAUUCCAGUCAGAAGUAAGGACAGUAAGUGUGGGGAGAGCCAGCCUUGGAUAACUAAGGAAAUAAAAGAUAGUAUCAAAUUAAAAGCUCAUGUGUACAAAGUUGCAAAUAGUGGGAGACUGGAGGAUUGGAAAACUUUAAAAAGCAACAGAGAACAACUAAACAAGAAAUAAGGAAAGGGAAGAUAGAGUAUGAAAGUAAAUUGUUACAAAGGUGGAGCAACUCUGAGGGGCCGAAGGGUACAAAGACGCCCCCUCCUUUUUGAGAAUCGCAAGAUCGCUAUUAUUUCGGGUCUGAGACCCAGGAAAUGAGAGAGAGACACACAGAAUACACAACCAGGUGGAAUGUCUCCUGACAUAAGCAGAACAGAAUCACUGAUUACUGCCAUUGUCUCUUGGAGAAGGAAUUGUGUAUUGAGUACUGUACUAUUCAUUGAAACCCCUCAGGGGACAACCAGAGUGGUCUGGUUGAGGGAUUGCAUCAUCCCAACCUGAAUGACAUCUGAGACCCCGUGAGUAAGGAUAAAAGAGGGGUCUGGGGAACACCCCUUUAGACGCACCAGGAGAAACGCUAGAAAUCCCGUGACAGCGUUUUAUAGCGAAAGCUGUUGGGAGCUCGUGUGCAUCCUCCCUUGCCUGGGUGGCGGGCUCACCACGGAAGAACGGUUUAGCUAAAGGAGAGGCCACAAGUGAACGGCCACGACUACGAGACACCUGACGGAUCGAAAUCAUAAAGGAAGGUAGGCAAAACCCGUAGCGGUAAAUGUUCCCAUUCUCUCUCUCUCUCUCUCUCCAACAAUUGCAACCCAGUGACAACCAAAAGACGGCAGCUUGUGUGAACUGCAGCGAACUUUAUAUUUCCAUCGGACAACACAUUAUCCCCUAGACAACGAUAGAGCUUAUUCCUUAUUGAUUAUUAUUAUACCCACACUUUUAGGUUUAGUAUUGACGGCAUAUAUUAUCUGUAUAUUUGCAUUGAUAUUAAUUUUGUGUAUUUUUACUAAUAAAUACUGUAAAAAAAAAGUAUCAUCAGACUUCAACGUACGUCUCUAUCUUUGCUGGUAAGUAACCCAGUUACGGGGUUCGUAACAAAAUUAACACAAAAUAUAAAAACAUAGCAAAAGUUUUUUUAAAUAUAUAAAGCAGAAGAGGGUGGGUAAAGUCAACGUAGGUCCCUUGGAAGAUGACAAGGGGAAAUUGAUAUUGGGUGAUAAGGAAAUGGCUGAGACAUUGAACGACUAUUUUGUGUCAGUCUUCACGGUGGAGGACAUGUCUAAUAUGCCAAAGAAGGAUAUUAUGGACAAGAUAAGAGGUGAGAACCUCGAUAAAAUCACUGUCACUGAAGAGAUAGUGAUGAGCAAACUCGAGGACCUGAAGGUAGUUCAGUCCCUUGGUCCAGAUGGGAUGCAUCCCAGGGUGCAGAAGGAAUUGGUGGUUAUAGUAGAUGCGUUGGUAAGCAUUUAUAAAAACUCUCUGAACUCUGAGCAGGUCCAGCAGAUUGGAAGACAUCAGUUGUCAUGCCACUUUUUAAAAAAGGAUGUAGGCAAAAGAUGGGCAAUUAUAGGCCAGUUAGCCAGGUAGUUGGGAAAAUGCUUGAAGCUGUCAUUAAUGAAGAAACAGAAAAACAUUUAGAAAGGAGGGGUUCCAUUAGACAGACACAGCAUGGAUUCAGAAAGGGCAGGUCCUGUUGGACAAACUUCCGGAGUUCUUUGAGGACAUAAUGAGUGCAGUGGAUAGAGGGGAACAGGUGAAUGUCGUAUACUUGGGUUUCCAGAAGGCGUUCGACAGUGUGCCAUACAAGAGACUCAUAAAUAAGAUACAGAUGCAUGGAGUCAGAGGAAGUGCAUUGGCAUGGAUAGUGAAAUGGUUACCAAUAGAAGGCAGAGAGUUGGUAUAAAUGUGUGUUUCUCCAGUUGGCAGUCAGUGGUGAGUGGGGUGCCGCAGGGGUCGGUACUGGGCCCGCAGCUGUUUACCAUUUACAGUGAUGAUUUGGAAGAGGGGACUGAGUGUAGCGUAGCAAAAUUUGCUAGUGACACUAAACUGAGUGGAAAAGCAAAUUAUACAGAGGAUGUGGAGAGUCUGCAGAGGGAUAUAGAUAGGUUAAGUGAGUGGGCCAAGGCCUGGCAGAUGGAAUACAACGUUGGAAGGAAGAUUAUCCGCUUUGGAAGGAAUAAUAGAACAGAUUAUUAUUUAAAUGGUGAAAGAUUGCAGCAUGCUGUCAUGCAGAGGGACUUGGGGGUGCUUGUUCAUGAAUCACAAAAAGUUGGCUCGCAGGUACAACAUGUUAUUAAGAAGGCAAACAAUGUUGGCUUUCAUUAUUAGAGCGAUUGAAUUCAAGUGCAGGGAGGUCAUGCUGCAACUAUACAGGGUACUGGUGAAGCUGCACCUGGAGAACUGUGUGCAGUUCUGGUCUCCGUACUUGAGGAAGGAUAUACUGGCUUUGGAGGCAGUGCAGAGGAGGUUCACCAGAUUGAUUCCAGGGAUGAAGGGUUUAACCUAUGAGGAGAGAUUGAGUCAUCUGGGACUAUACUCUCAGGAAUUCAGGAAAAUGAGAGGGGAUCAUAUAGAAACGUACACAAUUUUGAAAGGGAUAGAUAAGAUAGAAGUAGGAAAGUUGUUUCCAUUGGUAGGUGAGACUAGAACUAGGGGACAUUGCCUCAAGAUUCGGGGAGAAGAUUUAGGAUGGAGAUGAGGAGAAACUGUUUUUCCAGAGUGUGGUGAAUCUGUGGAAUUCCGUGCCCAGGGAAGCAGUUAAGGCUUCUUCACUGAAUAUAUUUAAGAUACAGUUAGAUAGAUUUUUACAUAGUAGGUGAAUUAAGGAUUAUGGGGAAAAGGCAGGUAGAUGGAGCUGAGUUUACGGACAGAUCAGCCAUGAUUUUAUUAAGUUGCGGGGCAGGCUGGAUGGACUGGAUGGCCUACUCCUGCUCCAAUUUCUUAUGUUCAUAGGUUCUUAUGUUAUGUAGACGAUCACAUUGACCAGGUUGGCUCCUCAUCCUUUGUCACUAAAUGGGAUCACUUAAAGGACUGUUGGUAAGUGCCAUUAACCCAGCAAGCCCGUGAUAUUUCUGCUUUUGUGACUCCUAAUGCUUUUUGCCAGUACUAGGUCAUGCCUUUUGGAAUGAGGAAUGCAGCAGCAACUUUUCAGGGUCUGAUCAAUAAGGUGCUGGAGGGAUUUGCAGGUUGUGAUGCUUACCUUGAUGAUUUGGUAAUUUACAGCUUUAUCUGGUCUCAACAUAAAGCCCAGAUAGAGCAGGAGUUCAACUGGCUUGUGGUUGCAAAUUUGACCCUGAACCUCGCCAGGCAUGAAUUUGGGCAAACUACAGUUACUGACCUGGGUAAAGUUGUAGGCUAGGGUCAAGUCUGCCCUACUGGGGCUAAAGUAGAGGCUAUUGUGAACUCUGUGUCAGCAUCCCAGAGAGAUCUGAAACAGUUCCUUGGGAUGGCAGGUCACUAUUGAAAUUUUUGCAGAAAAUUUUCCACUGUUCCUACACCCUUAACUUUCCUGCUUAGUCCCAAGGUUCCUUAUGUUUGGACGGAAUUUUGUCAGUGUGCCUUUGAGAAUUUGAAGGCAUUGCUGAGCAGUGCUCCUGUCUGAGCAGCUCCUGAGUUCAGUGGGCCCUUUAAGCUAGCUGUUGAUGCUAAUGACGUUCGUGUCGAAGCUGUGCUCCUCCGAAAUGAUUCGCAGGGUGUGAGCAUCUCUGAAAUCUGAGGUCAAGCAGAAGCUCUACUCCACAAUAGAGGAAGUGGUCAUGUUAAUUAUUCUUGCCCUGAAUCAUUUUGAUGUCUGUUUUCUUUUCCAAUUUUCCACUCAUUGUGUAUACAGACCAUAACCAUCUGGACUUUCUCCACAGCAUGAGGAAUUCUAACCAGCGUCUAAUGUGGUGGAGUUUAUUCCUGCAAGGUAUGACCGGAAGCUUUGCCACAUCUGUGGAAGGGACAAUGUGCUAGCGGAUGUCCUUUUGAAGUUAGGGCAGUAAUAUGCCUAGAUGCGGCUAAACUGCCGGAAAUAGAAGAAGAAGAAGAAGAAGAAGAAGCUGUGGUGCUGGAAAACGCCAUAUGAAUCCACAGUGUCUUUCUGCAAGAAAAGUUCAUCCAGCC